rnacentral:rRNA from 1 species
GUCUCGCCUGCCCUGUGACCAUGAGUUUAACGGCCGCGGUAUUUUGACCGUGCAAAGGUAGCGCAAUCACUUGUCUUUUAAAUGAAGACCUGUAUGAAUGGCAUAACGAGGGCUUAACUGUCUCCCUUUUCCAGUCAAUGAAAUUGAUCUCCCCGUGCAGAAGCGGGGAUUAAAACAUAAGACGAGAAGACCCUAUGGAGCUUUAGACAAAGAGCAGACCAUGUUAAACACACCUAAAUAAAGGACAAAACCAAUUGGCCCCUGCCCUUAUGUCUUUGGUUGGGGCGACCGCGGGGAAACAAAAAACCCCCAUGUGGACUGAAGACAUUCCUCUUCACAACCAAGAGCCACAGCUCUAAGCAACAGAACAUCUGACCAACAAGAUCCGGCACUAAGCCGAUCAACGGACCGAGUUACCCUAGGGAUAACAGCGCAAUCUCCUUUUAGAGCCCCCAUCGACAAGGAGGUUUACGACCUCGAUGUUGGAUCAGGACAUCCUAAUGGUGCAGCCGCUAUUAAGGG